UUCUCUUUCUGUUUCAGGCCCGCAACAAACAUCUGAGGGAGCGUGUUUCUGUUUUUUUGGGUUUUUUUUCUUCAUCCUCUCCAGAUCUCACACGCCUGAUUGGUGCGGUUGGCUGAACCGGAGCGUAACGUGCGGCAGCAGCAGCUAGACCGAGACACUACGGCAUUAAAGAACCCAUCUCCCUGAGGGGCCUCAUGAAAAACCAGCGCUGCUGAUCAAUUUUUCUGAGCGUUCACAUGAAGAAAAUCCCAUCAGCUCAUGUCGUGUCACCGAGGCAUCGCUCUUUAUCGUCCCGUCUCUGCCUCCUGAGGCGAGCCGCCGGCGUCCCCGGAAGGGUCUCAGACGCCGGGUGAGGAUGUGGUGGGGCGAGCACACCUCGGCACCCAGCUCACCGCUCGGAACCUUCUUCAGUGGCGUCCGGUCGCCUGGGGAAUCUUUUGGCCGGACACCACCUCUGGACACAAGAGCAGAAGGUCCGCCGCCAUCACUACAGAUCAGUCCACCCACAGUCCACGACAGAGAUGUGAACGAGAUCAGACCGAACCGCAGGAGAACAGAACGCCGUCUCGGAAUGGACGACAUCCUCCCGCCAACUCUGGAGGUCUACGGCGUUUAUCUGUGGUUUUACACACUCCCCAUCCGUGUAGAGUCCAACAUAAGUACUUUUUCAAGGGGAACUGGCUUCUCGCACAGCCCGGCACCGUGACGCACGGCGGUCCACCGCCGCGGGCGGACUCAGUUUGUCGGUGUGAAAGAGGGCAUUACACCUUUAAACGUUCAAAACAGGAUGUGAUGCCAUCCAGACGCACGUCAUGUGGUUAAACGGCAGAAGCAGAGGUUCAGAAAAAGUGGAUCAACACAGAACAAAGUCUGCAAAUGAAAGUCUGAGAUCACCAGGUGGAACGUGUCUCUCACUGCAUUUACUGUUUGCAAACUGUGGGACAUUUUAAUUUCAUGCAUUAUGAGCAUAAACCAAACAUGUUG